rnacentral:rRNA from 1 species
UACAGAGGGUGCGAGCGUUGUCCGGAAUCACUGGGCGUAAAGGGCGCGUAGGCGGCCUGAUAAGUAGGGGGUGAAAUCCCCGGGCUUAACCUGGGAAUGGCGCAUGGAGACUGCGAGGCUAGAGUUUGGCAGGAGGGGGGGUAGAAUUCCACGUGUAGCAGUGAAAUGCGUAGAGAUGUGGAGGAACACCGAUGGCGAAGGCCAGCCCCCUGGGUCAAAAACCUGACGCUCAUGCACGAAAGCGUGGGGAGCAAACAGG